UACGUAGGGGGCUAGCGUUGUCCGGAAUCACUGGGCUUAAAGGGUUCGCAGGCGGAAAUGCAAGUCAGAUAUAAAAGGCAGUAGCUUAACUACUGUAAGCAUUUGAAACUGCAUAUCUUGAGAAGAGUAGAGGUAAGUGGAAUUUUUAGUGUAGCGGUGAAAUGCGUAGAUAUUAAAAAGAAUACCGGUGGCGAAGUCGACUUACUGGGCUCAUUCUGGCGCUGAGGAACUAAAGCGUGGGCAGCAAAUAUG
rnacentral:rRNA from 1 species